rnacentral:rRNA from 1 species
AAUGAACGCUGGCGGCAGGCCUAACACAUGCAAGUCGAACGAUAACGACCAAUAGUUUGCUUUGUCAAUCACGUGUGGCGCUUGGGUGUGACACGUCUGGAAACUUGCCAGCAGGAGGGGAUUAACUCCUGGAACGGAUGGUUAAACCACAAAAAUCUUCCAAGAACAUAGAUUGAGAACUUAAAGACUCUCGCACUUCUGCGUGUGUAUAGGCGCGUGGUGGAUUAGCUAGUUGACGAGUUAACGGCGCACCAAGGCCUAGAUCCAUAGCCGAACUGACAGGGUGACCGGCCACACUGGAACUGAGACACGGCCCAAACUCCUACGGGAGGCAGCAGUAGGGAAUAUUCCGCAAUGGACGCAAGGCUGAUGGAGCCAUGCCGCGUGAAUGAAGAAGGCCUUCGGGUUGUAAAAUUCUGUCGGCAGGGAAGAAGGAAUGAUAGUGUAUAUGUUAGCGCAUUAACGUUACCCAAAGAAAAAGCACCGGCUAACUCCGUG